CAAUUGCCGGCGACCGGCGCACGGGUGAGUAACGCGUAUCCAACCUUCCGUACACUCAGGGAUAGCCUUUCGAAAGAAAGAUUAAUACCUGAUGGUAUGAUGAGAUUGCAUGAUAGCAUCAUUAAAGAUUUAUCGGUGUACGAUGGGGAUGCGUUCCAUUAGGUAGUAGGCGGGGUAACGGCCCACCUAGCCAACGAUGGAUAGGGGUUCUGAGAGGAAGGUCCCCCACAUUGGAACUGAGACACGGUCCAAACUCCUACGGGAGGCAGCAGUGAGGAAUAUUGGUCAAUGGACGAGAGUCUGAACCAGCCAAGUAGCGUGAAGGAUGAAGGUCCUACGGAUUGUAAACUUCUUUUAUAAGGGAAUAAACCCUCCCACGUGUGGGAGCUUGUAUGUACCUUAUGAAUAAGCAUCGGCUAACUCCGUGCCAGCAGCCGCGGUAAUACGGAGGAUGCGAGCGUUAUCCGGAUUUAUUGGGUUUAAAGGGAGCGCAGACGGGUCGUUAAGUCAGCUGUGAAAGUUUGGGGCUCAACCUUAAAAUUGCAGUUGAUACUGGCGUCCUUGAGUGCGGUUGAGGUGUGCGGAAUUCGUGGUGUAGCGGUGAAAUGCUUAGAUAUCACGAAGAACUCCGAUUGCGAAGGCAGCACACUAAUCCGUAACUGACGUUCAUGCUCGAAAGUGUGGGUAUCAAACAGGAUUAGAUACCCUGGUAGUCCACACGGUAAACGAUGGAUACU
rnacentral:rRNA from 1 species